rnacentral:tRNA from 1 species
UUAAUUGAAACCAAAUAGAGGUAUAUCACUGUUAAUGAUAUUAUUGAAUAAAAAAUUCCAAUUAAU